AGCGCCAGUUUGCUACCAAAGUUUUGGUAGCACAGGCGUAUGCUCGCAAAUUAUGAAAUAUUUCCAAGCACAUUUGCAAGCACAAAUGAAAACGGUGACCAAUUUUCGAAGAGGGAAAUAUUUUCAGUAGUUUGGCGAGCACCCUAGCAAAAUACUACCGGUCGAAUUUUCUUCCAUAUUGUGAUUCCCAGCUCGAUUCUCCCUUCCUCAGCCAAGCGCCACCGUUCAAUUCUACCUGCUCCGCCACUAAUCCUCCGCCACCAGCCAGUCUCUCUCUCAAAUUGAGGAACAAUCGCUAGAAAGUGCCUUCAUUGUCAAGCUACACGAGUAUUUACUUACAAUUGCCUGUAGGGAUUAUAAAUUUGCUAAAACAAUGAAUGACUAUUUUCCUAAUCGGCGUUGUUUUUUAAUCAUACACUGCAUUGUGUUUAAUUUAUUUCGAUUGGGAAACUUGUGUGUAUGUAUGUGUGCGUGAUUCUCAUUUAUUCGAUUGUGUAUCCUUCUCCUGCUAUUAAUAACAUUUGGAAACUUGUUUAGUAGCAGAUAAAAUCCGUUGUGUGCAGUGUUGAUUGUUGUGCGUGUGCUAAAAUGAAACUGAUUCUGUCGAUUUCUUUGAAAUUCAGUUGAUUUUUCGUUGCUGCAGCCACCAUAUUGUUUCACUGUGGCUCAGAUGGAAAAUGCAUCUUAUAGGGAAAUUUAGGCAUCUUAAGAACUUCUCACAAACGUGUUUGAGAUCCUGUUUUUUCUUUCUACAAAAGCAGGAUAGAAUGUAGUGAAUUGUAUCUGUCAAAUUUCUGACUGUUACUUUGCUCAAUGUGGUAAGGUUUACUGUUCUUAUCUCUAUCAUUUGAUUAUAUUUUAUAAGCCUGUAGGAAGGGAGAGCAUUCAACUGCUUUAGCAACUGCUACUGAUCCUACAAUACAGGUAUCUUAUAGAAACAGAUCCACUGAGUGCUGGUGAUCCUUUUAGGCAGAUCCACUGAUGCUACAAUAUGAUUGCUUGUGCUGGUGUUUGUAGGAGCUGGAGAUAAAUAAUGAGAGAGGUUUUGGGGACUCAUUAUUCCCAUUUCUCUCAAGCAAGUUUCAGAUAUUUUCUUUAUUUAUAUGUUGAUUUAGCAUGCCAAAAUCAUACAAUGAUGGAUUAUCCAAUAUCAGUAGGAUGAUUGUUCUGCUUUAUACCCUUGAAUUUGGAUACUAUAUGGAGCAGGCUACCAUUGUUUUGAUGCUUAAAAAUGUGAUAGUUAUAAUUUGAAUGUUGAUUUUAAAAUUUUAAGGGAAUGCAGAGAAAGUACUAUGAAUCUCUAUUGGUGGCUUAAUAGUGAUAUGGAGUAUCACAUAACAGCUUUAUGCAUCCAAGGAUGAACUCCAUGACUACUAAAUUAGUGGUUGUAAGUUGUAGCAAACCAUGAGGAUUUUGGCAAUGCUUUGGUGUUUAAUAAGGUAGAAAAGAGAACCUCUAACGAACUAUAAGCACGAAACAUGUAGAUCAAGCAUAUGGUUUGUCUAUAGACUCAAAGGUGUAUAUGCAAUGAUCUAAACAUUCUAAAUGAAUUUGCUCAACUCUUUAACUUAAUAACUUGUAUGAAAUGAUGUUGGAAUCUGACCUGCUGUUUCUAUCAAACUGUUGUUAUGCCGUUUUUGAAUUGUUACUCAUCAUGUAGCCCUACUUCCUAGUUUUCCUGGAUGACAUUUGUUGUGAUUGAUGCAGCCUGGUCUAAGAAGCUCUUGGAUUCAAUGUUUCUUAAGUGGAAUCAUGGCUUGCAAACCUAUCACCUUUACCUCAAUUUGGGCCAAGAGAUGUAGACAUCCAACGUAUACAGAUUAUAUAACCCUAGAGUGAUGAUGUUUUAGAGGGCAGCAGCAAACAUUGGCAAGUUAAGGGAGAAGAGCUCAGAAAGCAAAUUACCGCAGUUACCUUAUAUCUAGUGCAGUGCCAAGACGCAACAGGCUAAUGGGGUAGUAAGACCCAAAUUAUGAUGUCUUUUACGUUGAGUUUUUUGGGAAGAUAAAGAAGAGAAAGUAAAUUCCUGGAGCCGGUCAGGCAACGAAGGUGCAGGAGAAAACUGCGGACAAAAUCGAAAGCGCACGAGGAGUUGGGGAAGCAAAAUGCUGCAUCACGCGCGGAGUUAGAGAAGCAAAAUACGAAGUUGCAGAGAUAUUUAAGAAAAAUGCGGAGUUGGGAGAAUAGUUGAAGAAUCUUAGUCAACAAGUUUAUAAAAUGAGAACUCAAAAAUAGAUUAAGUCUUAUAAACUAAAUGGAAGUGUAAAACAAUAUUUGUUCAUUUUAUGUAAUUUUUGAAUUUUAUUUUUUAA